UUUCGUCACGGACUCGGUCAUUGUAGAGAAUCAUAGAGAUCUGAGCGGCAAGCAGUUUAGUACAAAGACAGGAAAAACAGUUCAUAACCGUAUGUGUGUUUGGCUGUACGCUCAACACGCUUGCAUAUUAGCGUAAAGCCCCUGCUCGAGAAGGAAUUAGAAUCUCAAGACGCUAGCUUGGUUGGACUCACUCAGGCAUUUCUGUCCUUGUAUCGCUACGUGAAGCAGCCAAAUGAAGAUAGCCGGUAUACAGCUUACAGCUUUGCAAGCUAGAUGCGGCGGCAACGGCAAACGGAACGGAUAUAACCAUAUCUCAUGGAAGUUAUUGAAAAUUUCCAGAAUAAAAUGAAAAUUUGAAUUAAGAGUUUUUUCUACCACUUGGAACCAAAGGAAUGGACUGAACACGUUCUAUCUCGGUUCAGAAAUGGAUUGAGUUCAUCAUCAUGACUGGCUGAAGAGACUAAAUGGUGUCACCAACACAAGUGGCUGAAGGGACUAAAUGGUGUCACCAACAACUCUGUGAGAUCUGUGCAUGAUGGAUUUAAAUCACAACGGUAUUUAUGAUUUCAUUUACCCAUUCAUACAGGUAACAGACUCAUCACUGUUGUCGUGACUUAUCUCCCUUGUCUGGCAGUAAUUCCAGAUCAAAUUCAUGAAUUUUGUCGUAGACAGGAGGUAAUGGGGUGUUUGUGGUUAGCUCAGGCUUUGGGCACCUUGUAUGAGACAAUAUGAAAUUGCCCAACUCUGUUCCAGUUCUGAAGGAGAAUGACACAAGGGAAAAAGAAUACUACGUGAGAACACAGGUAUACUACGCAGGUACCAUAGCGAACUGAAAAUGUCUGGCGGUAUCAUCACUUACCGUUUGCGUAAGUUGUACCGUAUUAAUAUUGGUUCGUAGUAACUUCUUGAUAUCCACGUAAUCUUAUUUUGUUCCUGGGCCAUCAGUGCUAUGCUCAUUCACUUAAUUUAAGGAACUAAUAGGCUAUUAGCAAUUCAUUUACGUCAAAUUAAUUACCUUCUUAAUGAAUUAAAAAAAAAGCGCUUAAAAUGUCCGAAAUGGUUCAUAUUCUAACGAUCACCCAAAAUGUCUCUUUUAAAGUUUAAUGUGGUUUAUCAAUAGAGAUUAUCGAUAGAGAUCGCCCAGGUGGAACAGCAAUGCCUUUUAUAGCAUAGAGAAAUAUGCACUUAGACUAACAUGGAAACGUUAUACAUCUUCUUUAGGUUUAAUCCUAGUAUCCGGUGCACACGGGAUUUGGCUACUUUUGGCG